UACGGCGGAUGCAAGCGUUAUCCGGAAUGAUUGGGCGUAAAGCGUCCGCAGGUGGCUAUGUAAGUCUGCUGUUAAAGAGUGAGGCUCAACCUCAUAAGAGCAGUGGAAACUACAUAGCUAGAGUGCGUUCGGGGCAGAGGGAAUUCCUGGUGUAGCGGUGAAAUGCGUAGAUAUCAGGAAGAACACCGGUGGCGAAAGCGCUCUGCUAGGCCGCAACUGACACUGAGGGACGAAAGCUAGGGGAGCGAAUGGG
rnacentral:rRNA from 1 species